GCUGGGUGUGGUGGCACACACCUGUAAUCCCAUGCUCGGGAGGCUGAGGCAGAAGGAUUGCUAGUUGGAGGCCUACUUCAUAGCAUCUUAGUGAGCCCUAAGCAACUUAGUGAGAGCCUGUCUCAA
rnacentral:sRNA from 1 species